rnacentral:lncRNA from 1 species
GUCAAACAUCUGCUGAUCUGGGAAUUCUAUUGGAAACUCUGCUUGUUUCAUAUUUUUCUAGGAGUGGGAAUUCAAGAUCAACUGAAGAUCACAGGUUGUCUUUAGACCAAUCUGAAGGUAGUGCUGAAGACAGUACAAACAAGAAAAAUAAAUCACUAAAAACAAAUCAUGAGGAAACAGUACUGGACAUUAACAAAAACUCUUGUAAAAAAGAAAAAAAGAAGCGUAAAAAACAUGAUGUGCAGUUCCAAAAUAACUCAACCUCAGAAUCAGGUGCUAACAAGAAUGAUUCUUCAGUUAAAAAACACAAGAGGAAAAAAUCGGAUAUUGGGUAAAAUUAUUUUUGAUUCAGGUAGUGAUGAAAAAUAUACCUUAUUCAUUAUUUAUAUUUGUGUAUUUUAUGAUUUUUAUCCUAUUUUUGUUGGGCAAACAUCUGUUCAUAUUUUCCUGCCAAUAUAGUUUAGUGGCUUUAAUAGGGAGCAGUCAUUAUUAAUGUUGUGAGGUGGGGUGGAAGACAUUUGGAGAUACCGGUAUAAUUGUUGAAAAACAAUACUGUAACUACAGUAUAGUAUUGUAAGUUCAGAGUUCAGUUAAGGGUACAUUGUAUAUAUCCCAACACUAAGUCAUUAUCAAGCAAAAUACAAUGACACACGGUACACAUAGUCGUAAAAUACAGUAUCUUCCACCCCACCCCCGGUGACCUGGUCAUUAAUAAUGACUGCUCCCUUAAUGCAACAUUGUAUCCAGAUCAUAGAUUGUGACCAUUCACAUUAUCAUUAUGCAUAUCUGGACUGAUGGCACAGCCUCAAAAAGUGUGGUCGCGCGGUGGCGAAAAUAUGAGAGUGAUUGUUCAUGGAGUUGACCACUGACCAAUACUCAGAGCUGAAAGUAUUUUGCUAUGCGCCAGCAGUGCUGUUUUACUCUCAUAUUUGUCAGCUUCAAUUUGCCACCCAAGCCUUCAGUCAAAAAGUAUUACAGGAUUAAUAAUAUACAUAAAGAUAUUACUCGACUGUGAUUGGUUGAUUUCAGUGCAGUUAAUCCCAAACAGCAGUGCAAAUUUCUGUAAUCACAGUGCAAUUUUCUGUAAUCACAGUGCAAAAAUCUGUAGCAAACUGAUCUGAUUGGUGCGAAAACAUUGUGAUGAUUAAAUCAACCAAUCGGUUUAAAGCAAUUUAGUUUAAAGAAGUAACGGUCACAGAUUGCUUCAAAACAAAACAAACAUAGCGCAGCGCUACACAAAAUAAACGUUGCCUUCGCGUGGAAAUAUGGCUUUUAUCUUUAUUUUUAAAUGGAAAAGCAUUUACCUUAAACAAGACUAACAAAAAUUACAAUCGUUGAGUGGAAUUUUCAAGCUGUUAGAGUUGUAUAAUGUGAUAUAAAAAGCCAGGAAAACUUUGCCAGUGGAAUGUUCGCUAUAAACGCGUAAGUUAAAACUACAAUUGUCUCAAACAUUUUGAUGUAAAUUAUUAAUAAGUGUUGGAUCGGAAAGCUAGAUUAAGACGUUAAGGUUAAUAAGUGCAUCAUUGUGAAUGACACUCGCGUCUGUUAAUGAUCACAGAGCAGUCGAACAUUUGUAGUGUAGAUAAUCAGCCUUUAUUUUAUCUCAUAAUUGGUUUAAUAUGACAAGUGUACAUCAUGACACGCAAACCAGUGCAUGGGUCAGUAAAUUUUUGUAAUUCAAGGAGAGAGGACACUGCUACAUCUUUUAGAGGAUAUUUAUGGUAAAAGAAUAGACGAAAAAGAGCGACAGCGAAAACAUCUGUAAGUGACAGAUUCAUGUGCAUGCAGUUUAUAAGUUUAUUGUGUAUAGUUAUGUUUUAUAUAGUUAGUUUAUACGAUUUAGUAUUAAUUUAGGUUAUAUCUGUUCUAUUUAGUCGAACCACGUUUUAUGUUCACGGUUACUGUGCGUUUUACACGUGAAAGACUAUAACCGAUUCAUCAAAUUUUUUGAGUAUACUCACACGUAAGCCUACGAAAUGAAUUUGGUCCUCUCGUUUAGAAGUAGUGAGGUUUACAAUAAGUAAUAGCAUGGUUUCUCGUAAAAUUUGGAUAAAGAUGCACUCGUGAGUUUUUCAAAGACCUCAAAUAGCACUCGUCCUUCGGACUCGUGCUAUUUUGAGUUUUUUGAAAAACUCACUCGUGCAUGUUAUAUCCGAAUUGCACUCGAAACCAUGCUGUUACCUAUACAUACAGAAUGUUGUUUAUUUCAUGAUUUUUUUAUAAAUAUGGAUUGUCUGGGUACUUAUACAGUAACGUAGAAUAAACAAAAAAUGUUCGUAAAGAUAAAUUUUCCAGUGCAGGAAGGGGGUCUUUUUUAGCAGCAUUAAAAGUAGCUUGCGCGCGAAAUUAAAAAGUUUAAAACGCAUUUUGAGUUCAUGGGCGAGAAAUUUGUUAUGUUCUGAUCAGCGAAAAUGGCCCUGGCAUCGGCCGGUCACAUGACCUCAAAAUCUCCAGUAUUUGGGGUGUUCAAUUAUGAUAAUUUAUGCGUAUAAGUACGUAUAUAGAACAAUUAUAUACAUUGUAAUUACUGACAGGAGUAAACAAACUCAAUGCUGGGUAUAUAAUCAAAGAGAAAGGAACAAAAUAAGUCAGUGACUUUAUUCGGUUUUCGUUGUUCACACCUCAUUCAGCAACAGUACAUAUCCCGUAAUAUUGAUGACUUUUAAACAUAACUUAAUCAAAGUAACUAAACAAAACAAAACCGCUUCAGCGUUUGGUUUAUAUAAAUCGUGUUUAAUAUGAGCAAAUAUAUUCGUAUCACAAUCUUUAUUUGACAAUAACGCUGUACCUUUCUUGAAAUCAACGAUGUGUAAAGUGUAAACAACGCAUGUGAGAAAUGUAUGUUGAACCGAAGCAAAUACUCGUCUAUACAAAAUCUGCAAAGACUUAAUUUGGACCAAAUUGUUUUGUGAUGUAUUGUCUUUCCCAAAUUCAUGCUGUAUCUCAAGCGAAAUGUCAAAAAUCUUAUUUGCUCGAUACUUUAGUCCUUCAAGAACUAAUUACAGUAUAAAUUUGUUACUCCACUCUCGUUCCACCAAAAUAAUAAUUAUUCCCACAUAUAUUGAAUAAUUACAUUCAAAAUCAUUGACCAAUCAGGUUGCAAAACAGACCAGCCGAAGCCAGGGCCUUUUUCGCUGACCAUCCAACCGCGGAAGCAAAAAGCCCUGGGUACGAGGUUGAUGUGUUUUAUGAAUGGUCCAAAUAUCAGAGAAUGCACUCAUUUUAAGUCCUUUGAAUAGUUGCUGAAACUUUCAUUUUUUGGCACCAUGCAUUUACCUAAUUUGCAUAUUGUUAUUGUAAAAAUUAUAAUUUUAACGUUUAAGUUCAAAUUCAGGUAAAAUCCUUUGCCAAAUGCCACCUUACAUGUACACUCCAACUCCCAGAUGCUUCGCCAUCUUCCCGAAUACAUGCCAUUUAAAAAGUGCCCCAGUACGAAAACCCUUAAUUCCCAGCGAGAGUUUUGCCUUUUGGUUAAUAUAUACCGUACUUUAAAAGUCGCUGAUAUAUACUACUUUCUAACUCGAGCGAUUCUUUGAACAGUAAUGAAGACCAGUGGUCAGCUCUACCGAUUAUUUCAUAGUUAUUAAAAAGAAAAUCAGACAAUAUACAUGUUAUAUUAGAGUCUUAUUGUGGUGUUAGUUCCGUUAUAGUUUUGAUUAGAUACCUGCUACCGUGAUCUGCGAUGUGCGCAUCACGUAUAAUGGCUCAGAUAAAUGAAAAUAAGUCCCAGGCAAUGCGUGACCUCCGAAAUUCUGUAAUGAAUAACAAUUAAUAGAAAUAAUGACGAGCAACUAUGCAGAGGACUCUGUAAGCAAUAUCGGAUCUGAAAAUUGUUCACGUUUAUCAUUACGUUCGCGUACUAUCGGAUCGGCGAUCAGCCAAACAAGCAGUUCCAGAAGCAGAAGUAGCCGCACUGGAGCGUCUUUAACGAACUUAAGCAAGGUUUAAUCUAGUGCGGGAACGUGACAAGAAACAGCCUUAAUUUUUACACUGAACGUAGCAGUUAGUUGUCCCAGCUUGAUAUGUAAGCGUUGUAUACAAGACGUGAUAAUCUGUAUUUUGCCGUUCUAAACAGAGCAAAGGCGACGUCUAAAACUUCCGUGGGAUUUUAAUUGUAAAUUUCUGCUCAUUUUCGUGUAUUAAUAUGAUUAUCAAUAGCCAUCCAGGCCCGUUCUCGUUGUACUUUCGUCCUACUUAUUGAGGUUUCUUAAUGCGUUGUCGGCUGUCCUUCCUUUCCUUUCGCAUGCCCGGAAAUCUAAACCCGCGGAAAGGACCAAUGGCAAGUGCCAUAAAUACCACUUCAAGUAUAUCAGACGAAGAAAGACUAUAGGCUGUGCACGGUUGACGAUUUGUUUGCUGGAUAUUUCUUUGCCUUGGUAGCCAUGGAAGUGAUACAGUAGAAGAGGAAAGAAGAUCCUAUACCAACCGUUUGGCGAAAAGAUAAACCUACUCAAAAUAACAUCAUCUUUGGACUAUUAAAGUGAAAACAAGACAACUUUCAUAAUGAUAUUUCGACUCCAUUUUAAGGGUUUAAGUUUUCCGCAAAUUUGUUGUUUCACACAGUACCGCUGGAACAUCUCGGAUUCUCGGGCUCCGUGCAAUAACCUUUACAGAUAACUGUUUUCCUCUGUAAAGUGGCGCGUGCAUCUGCGAAUACUUAACAGUUAUUCUACGAACUCCAGUCGAAUAUGAGCUGAUAGCCGAUGAGGCGCGUAGCGCCGAAUCGGCUAUCGCUCAUAUUCGACGAGAGUGAGUGGAAUAACUGUUUUAUUAUAUACACAAGGUCUGAAUUCACAGACUUUGCUUUUCGAAUUAAUAUUUUCAAUAUUUUUCUAUUUUGUUUAUGUUUUUAAUCUUCGCUCUUUCGGUCGAUUAUUUCAAAAAUAUAUAUUUUUAACCAUUUUAAAUUUUAAAAAUUUAUUUGCUAACCUGAAAACUAUUUGUGGGAGUCUUUUCAUUGUGUUUUUAAUCCUGUAAAGGCUAUAAAAAGAGACAAGUUGCCGUUUUCUCGUUUGCAAAACAUGGUAAAUUCAGUUUGGCCGCCAUUUUGUUUUUCUCUACUAGCAGGAUAUGAGCUAAUAUCCUGCUAGUAGAAAACCAAUCCGAUUGCAGAAUACCUCAUAUCCAGACCUUGUGUAUAUAAUAACAAGAAUUAUCUCCGGGCUAUUACACUUCAAGUAAAUUCAGGUAAAACCCAAUUCCAACCAAAGAGCAAGGUUGACACCACUUUUCUUGUAUAAUUUCUAGAUCACCAAUGGCAAAUGCCAUGAAUAUCACUUCAAAUAUUUCAGAUGAAGAACGAAGAUGGGCUGUGGUUAGCGUUCCUAACAAAGUUGUUACUCCUCAUUUAAGAAAUAUUCUCACAACUGAACUACAGUGGUAAGAUUAUAUUGAUUGUACCACUUUUGUAGUUCAGUUGCAAGAAUUUGAAAAGUUGCAGAUCUGGUGUUUCAACAACCUGAUCAAAUUGACAAGCAUGUUUUACCCAAACAUAAAACAACAAUGUCCAUAAAUAGCCCAGAACGUAUGACUAUACAGUUAAAGAUCCUUUGACAAAGUUGUCCAACCUUUCAUGGCAAAAUUUACUGCUUUUGACCAAACUAUGGACCUGUCUGCAGUUUUGUCAGUUAUGUGUGAGGCUGAUCCAUUUGUAACAUUUGCAGUUGAUGCAAAGACUUAUGUCUUACAGAAGUAAGUGGGCAAAUUGUAACUUCGGAUUGGAUCAAACCAGCAUCCAUGGCCGCCUUUCGAGACAUGGGCUCUUCAGUGAAGAUGAAUCUACCACCAGCUAGUAGAAAAGCAUGUUGUGAUGCUUUUUCAUCCGCUGGUGAUAAAAUCAUCUAAUUUAACACUUAUUGACUGAAACCGAUGGGAAACAGGCAUAUUUUGUGGGCCCGAGACUGCAAAUGUUCCCCAAUUCUGGGGAA